AUUGAACGCUGGCGGCAGGCCUAACACAUGCAAGUCGAACGAGUGGCGGACGGGUGAGUAAUGUCUGGGAAACUGCCCGAUGGAGGGGGAUAACUACUGGAAACGGUAGCUAAUAACGCAUACCAUCGGAUGUGCCCAGAUGGGAUUAGCUCGUAGGUGGGGUAAUGUCUCACCUAGGCGACGAACACUAGCUGGUCUGAGAGGAUAACCAGCCACACUGGCACUGAGACACGGUCCAGACUCCUACGGGGGGCAGCAUUUGGGAAUAUUGCACAAUGGUCGCAAGCCUGAUGCAGCCAGGCCGCGUGUAUGAAGAAGGCCUUCGGGUUGUAAAGUACUUUCAGCGUGGAGGCGUUACCCGCAGAAGCAGCACCGGCUAACUCCGUGCCAGCAGCCGCGGUAAUUC
rnacentral:rRNA from 1 species